UCGCUGCAGCAGGAGGAGGUAACUACUGCUGGUUUUGUAAGGCAUUGUGGUUGAGAGCACCUUGCAGCUGUAACGCGAAUUUCGUUCCGUAAUAAACAAUGUACCGCCAUGCUGCCUGUCCUUCCUCCCUCCCAGCACUGUGUACGUCUGUGUGUGUGUGUGUGUGUGUUGCUUAAUUCUCCCUCCCAGCACUGUGUACGUCUGUGUGUGUGUGUUGCUUAAUUCUCCCUCCCAGCACUGUGUACGUCUGUGUGUGUGUGUUGCUUAAUUCUCCCUCCCAGCACUGUGUACGUCUGUGUGUGUGUGUUGCUUAAUUCUCCCUCCCAGCACUGUGUACGUCUGUGUGUGUGUGUGUUGCUUAAUUCUCCCUCCCAGCACUGUGUACGUCUGUGUGUGUGUGUGUGUUGCUUAAUUCUCCCUCCCAGCACUGUGUACGUCUGUGUGUGUGUGUGUGUUGCUUAAUUCUCCCUCCCAGCACUGUGUACGUCUGUGUGUGUGUGUUGCUUAAUUCUCCCUCACUGCACUGUGUAUGUCUGUGUGUGUGUGUUGCUUAAUUCUCCCUCACUGCACUGUGUACGUCUGUGUGUGUGUGUUGCUUAAUUCUCCCUCACUGCACUGUGCGUACGUCUGUGUGUGUGUGUUGCUCUGUCUCUGUCUCUCAAUCUCUGUCUCUGUCUCUCAAUCUCUGUCUCUCUAUCUCUCAAUCUCUCUGUGUCUUUCUCUCUCUCUAGUUAGUAAAGAACGGGCAACGUUUGCCAUGGAAGACUCUACAGUAUAAGACUCUACAGUAUACAUAAGACUACAGUGUACAUCCCAACCCUCUACGGCCGUUGCUGCUCCACCCGGGCAUUACCACAUCCACUCGAGUCUCCAAGAAACCUCCACGGCCGAGCUUCAACCACAGAACACACCGCUACCGUUGAUGAGGUUCCACGCCCCGGACUACCGCCAUGUUAGCCUCGAUAAUAGUCCUCGGCGCACUUAUUCUGAGACGUCCUGACUGGAGAGCUACACAACACUGGUCAUCCGCUGAGUGGUUGAUUUCCUGGUCUACCGGCCCCAGGAGGAGUGGUCGAUUGCCUGGUCUACCGUGGAUGUGAGUGGUUGAUUCCCUGGUCUACCCCUGGAUGACGCGGCUGUUCCUAUGCAGGGGAGGACUCACACAAGCGAUAAGCACCUGUCGGACCUGGAGACUCCCCCCUGAGCCUGACGGUGGAGCUGUGGGCCCUGCACCAGACCCCCACACCCCCCCACACCACCCACAGCAGGGGCAGGGCGUUGAGACUCCCCCCACAGGCUAAGACAGGGAGGGACUUGAAGAUCCAGGUUUUUGUCAUCUGCACAGGAAUUGACACUAUAGACAAUAAUUGACAAUAUAGUUUCCUUUUUUGUGUGUGCCCUUGAGCUGUCUCCUUUGUUGUAGAAAAAAAUACUUGGCGAGGCUUUCAUAGGCGUUUUGGGCAUUUCCAGGGGUAGUUUAAUGACCCUGGUUGUAGUCUGACCCUUCCUCUGCGCAAUGAACUUGAAAAAACACUCAUAAAAACACAGAUAUUAACCCAGUAGCAGUGGCGAUCAUGUUUCUUAAUGGUCCCUCCAAGCGAGAAAAAUGAGAAAAAAUCGCCCCUCACACAAACCAUUUCAUAUAUAUCAAAGCAUUUGCGAUCAGAUUAUGUAUCAUCUAUUUUUGGGGGUUUAUAUCAUGGUACAAAUUUGGCCUGUCGCUGCUACAUGGUAAAGCCACAAAUUUGGCCCGUCGCUGCUACCGGGUUAACCUCCUUAUCGUGUUAAAAUCCCUGUAUCUCGCUGUUAUCUUCCUCUCCCUCUAUAUUAUUUGUCAAUCUCUCUCUUUCUCUCUCUCCCACAGAUGUCUAAGGUUCCGCCCAUGCAGCUGAAGGGUGCCAAUGCCUACACAUGCAUCGACCACAGGUGUGCGCUGGACAUUGCCUACAAUUCAUGGUGCAAAUGGUAUGUUGGAGGAAUUCUUUGAUGUAUUUGAGGGACUGGGAUGCCUGCUGGAUGGUACAGGUAAAUUACUUGGCUCACAACUGAGAGAGCCCGGGUUCAAUUCCCGGGCAGAGUGGAAAAAUUUGGGCGGCUUUUCCGAUACCCUACGCCCCUGUCCACCCAGCAGUGAAUGGGUACCAGGUAUUAAUCGGGGGUUGUGUCCCGUCUCCUGGGGUCUGUUCCCUUCUCCUAUAAUCCUUUCCUCUUCUGUCUCUCUCCGGCAUAUGACCACAGAUGUUGCACCCACUAAACAAAACUUUCCUUCCUUCCCCUUCUGUCUCUCUCCGGCAUAUGACCACAGAUGUUGCACCCACUAAACACA